GCACCCAUAGCUCAACCGGAUAGAGCACCCGCCUUCUAAGCGGGAUGUUGCAGGUUCGAGUCCUGCUGGGUGCG
rnacentral:tRNA from 1 species